UGUUGAUGCCCAACUCAUGCCUCUGGCACCCUGCCCAGAAGCGUGAGUCCCUGCCUCACACCGACCCCUCCCACGCAGAGAGAGGUCAGCGUGAGCCCCUUGCCUCACACCGGCCCCUCCCACGCCGAGAGAGGUCAGCAUGAGCCCUUGCCUCCCACCGGCCCCUCCCACGCUGAGAGAGGUCCGCAUGAGCCCCUUGCCUCACACUGGCCCCUCCCACGCUGACCCCUUGCCUCACACCGGCCCCUCCCAUGCCGAGAGAGGUCAGCGUGAGCCCUUGCCUCACACCGGCCCCUCCCACGCUGAGAGAGGUCCGCAUGAGCCCCUUGCCUCACACUGGCCCCUCCCACGCUGACAGAGGUCGGUGUGAGCCCCUUGCUUCACACUGGCCCCUCCCACGCAGAGAGAGGUCAGCGUGACCCCUUGCCUCACACCGGCCCCUCCCACGCUGAGAGGUGGGCGUGAGCCCCUUGCCUCACACUGGCCCCUCCCACACUGACCCCUUGCCUCACACCGGCCCCUCC
rnacentral:lncRNA from 1 species